rnacentral:rRNA from 1 species
AUGGGUUUGGGAAGGCCAUGUGAUACAUGUUGGGGCUCUCACUUCAAAACCGUGAACCAUGUCAUCUGUAUGUAUGGUGCAAUACGACGAGUCCUCAUCAAGAUUGGAAAAGAGUACCAUGGUGCGGAGGCGCAAGCGGCUCUAACCAUAUUGACACCAUUUCGAUCAUUUGAGUUUGUUUUCAUGGCACACUUGAUGCAAGAAAUAUUUGGAUACACAGAUGAGUUGAGUAGAGCUUUGCAAAAGCAAGACCAAGAUAUUGUUCAUGCUAUUGAGCUUGUUGAUAUCACAAAGUAUCACUUGGAGGGUUUGAGGACUGAUCCUGGAUGGGAUGAUUUUCUCAAAAAGGUCACAUCUUUUUGUACAAAGCAUAAGAUCAAAAUUGUUGAUAUGGAGGGUCCUUACUUUCCCGCUGGCCGGCCUAGAAGGGGUUUCUUUAAUGGUGCAAUGAAUUACCAUCGCUUCAAAGUUGAUAUGUAUGUGAGUGUCAUUGAUAGGCAAAUUAGUGAGUUGAAUGGCAGAUUUGAUGAGGUAAACACAGAUCUACUUUCUUGCAUGGCAGCAUUUUGUCCACUUCGUCUAUUUGCUGCUUAUGAUCAAGAGAAAUUGGUUAGGCUUGCUACAAAGUUUUAUGCUAAUGAUUUCACAAGUGAUGAACUGGCAAGACUUCCAUGGCAACUAAACAUGUACGUUACUCAUGUGCGUAGAGAUGAAAGGUUUCAAAACUUGAAGAAUCUGCGUGAGCUUUCAGUUAUGCUUGUCGAGACAAACAAGCAUGAACAAUACUAUAUUGUUUACAAGCUUCUUAAGUUGGUAUUAAUCCUGCCAGUAGCUACUGCUAGUGUUGAAAGGGUGUUCUCUUCAAUGAACUAUGUGAAGAAUAAGCUAAGGAGCAAAAUGGGUGAUGAUUACUUGAACAAUUGUUUGGUUACAUUUGUUGAGAGAGAAUUCUUCAAUCAAGUAAAGGAUGAGGAUGUCAUCAAUCUCUUCCAAAAAGGUGAUCGCAAAGUUAUAUUGUAA